rnacentral:rRNA from 1 species
CCUACGGGUGGCUGCAGUGGGGAAUAUUGGACAAUGGGCGAAAGCCUGAUCCAGCCAUGCCGCGUGUGUGAAGAAGGCCUUCGGGUUGUAAAGCACUUUCAGUGGGGAAGAAAGCCUUGGGGCUAAUACCCUCGAGGAAGGACAUCACCCACAGAAGAAGCACCGGCUAACUCCGUGCCAGCAGCCGCGGUAAUACGGAGGGUGCGAGCGUUAAUCGGAAUUACUGGGCGUAAAGCGCGCGUAGGCGGUCUGAUAAGCCGGUUGUGAAAGCCCCGGGCUCAACCUGGUAACGGCAUCCGGAACUGUCAGGCUAGAGUGCAGGAGAGGAAGGUAGAAUUCCCGGUGUAGCGGUGAAAUGCGUAGAGAUCGGGAGGAAUACCAGUGGCGAAGGCGGCCUUCUGGACUGACACUGACGCUGAGGUGCGAAAGCGUGGGUAGCAAACAGGAUUAGAUACCCGUGUAGUC